rnacentral:piRNA from 1 species
UCGCAGACAGCACCAGUGGUUUAUUGGGGGU